AGGACGAACGCUGGCGGCGUGCCUAACACAUGCAAGUGGAGCGACGAACCAGGCUUCGGCCUGGGGCAGAGCCGCGAACGGGUGAGUAACACGUGGGUUACCUGCCUCGAUGACCGGGACAACCCGAGGAAACUCGGGCUAAUACCGGAUGUGCCCGCAAGGGGAAAGGAAGCUUCGGCCUCCGCAUCGAGAUGGGCCCGCGGCCCAUUAGCUUGUUGGUGAGGUAACGGCUCACCAAGGCUUCGAUGGGUAGCUGGUCUGAGAGGACGAUCAGCCACACUGGGACUGAGACACGGCCCAGACUCCUACGGGAGGCAGCAGUGGGGAAUCUUGCGCAAUGCGCGAAAGCGUGACGCAGCAACGCCGCGUGGGGGAAGAAGGCUUUCGGGUUGUAACCCCUUUCAGUUGGGACGAAGCUUCGUCCGGUGAAUAGCCGGACGGAGUGACGGUACCUUCACAAGAAGCACCGGCUAACUACGUGCCAGCAGCCGC
rnacentral:rRNA from 1 species